rnacentral:rRNA from 1 species
GACGAACGCUGGCGGCGUGCUUAACACAUGCAAGUCGAACGGGCUCUGUCUGGCUGUGUGCUGGGUGGGGUUGGUGGCGACCGGGUGAGUAAUACGUGAGUAACCUGCCCUCUUCUUUGGGAUAAGCCUUGGAAACGGGGUCUACUACUGGAUAUUCCUGUCUGGUCGCAUGGCUGGGUGGGGAAAGUUUUUUUCGGUGGGGGAUGGGCUCGCGGCCUAUCAGCUUGUUGGUGGGGUGAUGGCCUACCAAGGCGUCGACGGGUAGCCGGCCUGAGAGAGUGGCCGGCAGAAGGGGAACGGCGAUACGGGGAAGACGCCUACGGGAGGAAGCAGUGGGGGAUAUGGAACAAGGGGCGUAAGCCUGAGGCAGCGACGCCGCGUGGGGGAUGACGGCUUUCGGGUUGUAAACCUCUUGCGUUGGGGGACAAGGCUCUGCUUGGUGGUGGGGUUGAGGGUACCCGGUGAAGAAGCGCCGGCUAACUACGUG